GACGAACGCUGGCGGCGUGCCUAAUACAUGCAAGUCGAACGAAACUUCUUUAUCACCGAGUGCUUGCACUCACCGAUAAAGAGUUGAGUGGCGAACGGGUGAGUAACACGUGGGCAGCCUGCCCAAAAGAGGGGGAUAACACUUGGAAACAGGUGCUAAUACCGCAUAACCAUAGUUACCGCAUGGUAACUAUGUAAAAGGUGGCUAUACUACCGCUUUUGGAUGGGCCCGCGGCGCAUUAGCUAGUUGGUAGGGUAAAGGCUUACCAAGGCAAUGAUGCGUAGCCGAAUUGAGAGGUUGGUCGGCCACAUUGGGACUGAGACACGGCCCAAACUCCUACGGGAGGCAGCAGUAGGGAAUCUUCCACAAUGGGCGAAAGCCUGAUGGAGCAACGCCGCGUGGGUGAAGAAGGUCUUCGGAUCGUAAAACCCUGUUGUUAGAGAAGAAAGUGCGUGAGAGUAACUGUUCACGUUUCGACGGUAUCUAACCAGAAAGCCACGGCUAACUACGUG
rnacentral:rRNA from 1 species